rnacentral:rRNA from 1 species
GACGAACGCUGGCGGCGUGCCUAACACAUGCAAGUCGAGCGGGGAUGGGGAUUUCGGUUUCCAUUCUAGCGGCGGACGGGUGAGUAACGCGUGAGCAAUCUGGCCUUCAGAGGGGGAUAACACAUUGAAAGGUGUGCUAAUACCGCAUGAGACCACAAGACCACAUGGUCAAGGGGUCAAAGGAGAAAUCCGCUGAGGGGUGAGCUCGCGUCUGAUUAGCUAGUUGGUGGGGUAACGGCCUACCAAGGCGACGAUCAGUAGCCGACCUGAGAGGGUGAUCGGCCACACUGGAACUGAGAAACGGUCCAGACUCCUACGGGAGGCAGCAGUGGGGAAUAUUGGGCAAUGGGGGAAACCCUGACCCAGCAACGCCGCGUGAGGGAAGAAGGUUUUCGGAUCGUAAACCUCUGUCCUAUGUGAAGAGAAGAAGACGGUAGCAUAGGAGGAAGCCCCGGCUAACUACGUGCCAGCCGCCGCAGUAACAC